rnacentral:rRNA from 1 species
UACAGAGGGUGCGAGCGUUGUCCGGAAUCACUGGGCGUAAAGGGCGCGUAGGCGGCUUGAUAAGCGUGCGGUGAAAGCCCGGGGCUCAACCCCGGGUCGGCCGUGCGAACUGUCGAGCUGGAGCACUGUAGAGGCAGGUGGAAUUCCGGGUGUAGCGGUGGAAUGCGUAGAGAUCCGGAAGAACACCGGUGGCGAAGGCGGCCUGCUGGGCCGAUACUGACGCUGAGGAGCGAAAGCGUGGGGAGCGAACAGG